rnacentral:rRNA from 1 species
GAUGAACGCUGGCGGCGUGCCUAAUACAUGCAAGUCGAGCGAACUGAUUAGAAGCUUGCUUCUAAGACGUUAGCGGCGGACGGGUGAGUAACACGUGGGCAACCUGCCUGUAAGACUGGGAUAACUUCGGGAAACCGAAGCUAAUACCGGAUAGGAUAUUCUCCUUCAUGGGAGAUGAUUGAAAGAUGGUUUCGGCUAUCACUUACAGAUGGGCCCGCGGUGCAUUAGCUAGCUGGUGAGGUAAUGGCUCACCAAGGCAACGAUGCAUAGCCGACCUGAGAGGGUGAUCGGCCACACUGGGACUGAGACACGGCCCAGACUCCUAUGGGAGGCAGCAGUAGGGAAUCUUCCGCAAUGGACGAAAGUCUGACGGAGCAACGCCGCGUGAGUGAUGAAGGCUUCCGGGUCGUAAAACUCUGUUGUUAGGGAAGAACAAGUACAAGAGUAACUGCUUGUACCUUGACGGUACCUAACCAGAAAGCCACGGCUAACUACGUGCCAGCCGCCGCCGUAACAC